CUGUGGCGGCCGAGCCGGGGCAGCCUGCUCAGCGCCGCGGCGGCGGCGGCGGCGGCUGGAGACAAAGCGCCCAGCUAAUGAAUGGGACGGGCCCGCCCGGCCCUUCCUUUUAACUCCUUCGGGCCCGGCCGGGCGGCGGCGGCAGCGGCGACCUCCGGCUUUCCCUGCGGCGGCCGCCCGGGGAGAUACAAUCAUCUUUAAGUUUGAGUAACAAGUAUUUAACCUCAAAUGAAGCUUCCUGCAUGCAGCGGAACAGAUAUAGUUGAUGACAAGCAUCAAAAGCACAGCAAGGAAAAGUAGGGAAGAAGGUCUACAACUGCAGUUCCUUGUUCAAGGCUAACUCUCAUCUAUUCACCUCAACUUGAACUGAGACCAUCAAGGAACACAACCAUCAGUGUUUAACUGCCUGGCUUCUGCUCAGUGGUAUCUUGUACGGAAAGGUAACUUAGGAUAAAAUGAUUAGGGCCUAUUUGAAUAUGUGGUGAUAAUGAGUGGUAGUGAUUAAGAAUUAACCAUUGCCAAUGUGUAUUGUUAAUGAACAUCGAUCUAGUAAGGUCUUAUUAGGAAGUUUGCAGUUGGGCUCCAUUAUCAGUCUUCUAAAUCUUCCCAUCGCAGCAACCUUAAGUUCAGCUGCUUUAAGAAGUGUUUACUGGGGCAAGGACAAGUGCAGCAUC